GUGACCCACCUACGCUACGCUACGUAGUAUUCCUCCUCUCCCUCCAGAAAGCAAAAAGGUAUGCAGCUCCAGCCAAAAGUUCACCCUUACUAUUUUAUGUUGUGUUGCUCUUUAAUUUCCUCUCUGCCUUACUCUUUAUGUUAGGGGAGUGAAUAAAUAAUUAUCUAGAAAUUAAAGGUGUUUAAUAAUUUGCUAUUACAGAGAGGAGGCCACAGGUCGUCUAUGGUGUCCUUGCUUUCUCUGAAUUAAGCUCCUCUGCUCUCACUGCAAUUCGUUCCUCAGCUUUUUUAGUUACUCCUACUCAUCUUGGUUUCACCGCCGACACUUAUUUACACCUCCACUUCCCU
rnacentral:lncRNA from 1 species